AACGAACGCUGGCGGCAGGCUUAACACAUGCAAGUCGAGCGCCCCGCAAGGGGAGCGGCAGACGGGUGAGUAACGCGUGGGAACGUACCUUUUGGUUCGGAACAACUCCGGGAAACUGGAGCUAAUACCGGAUAAGCCCUAACGGGGAAAGAUUUAUCGCCGAAAGAUCGGCCCGCGUCUGAUUAGCUAGUUGGUGAGGUAACGGCUCACCAAGGCGACGAUCAGUAGCUGGUCUGAGAGGAUGAUCAGCCACACUGGGACUGAGACACGGCCCAGACUCGUACGGGAGGCAGCAGUGGGGAAUAUUGGACAAUGGGCGCAAGCCUGAUCCAGCCAUGCCGCGUGAGUGAUGAAGGCCUUAGGGUUGUAAAGCUCUUUUGUCCGGGAAGAUAAUGACUGUACCGGAAGAAUAAGCCCCGGCUAACUUCGUG
rnacentral:rRNA from 1 species